GACGAACGCUGGCGGCGUGCCUAAUACAUGCAAGUCGAACGCAUUUUCUUUCACCGUAGCUUGCUACACCGAAAGAAAAUGAGUGGCGAACGGGUGAGUAACACGUGGGUAACCUGCCCAUCAGCGGGGGAUAACACUUGGAAACAGGUGCUAAUACCGCAUAAUUCCAUUUACCGCAUGGUAGAUGGAUGAAAGGCGCUUUUGCGCCACUGAUGGAUGGACCCGCGGUGCAUUAGCUAGUUGGUGGGGUAACGGCCUACCAAGGCUGCGAUGCAUAGCCGACCUGAGAGGGUGAUCGGCCACACUGGGACUGAGACACGGCCCAGACUCCUACGGGAGGCAGCAGUAGGGAAUCUUCGGCAAUGGACACAAGUCUGACCGAGCAACGCCGCGUGAGUGAAGAAGGUUUUCGGAUCGUAAAACUCUGUUGUUAGAGAAGAACAAGGAUGAGAGUGGAAAGUUCAUCCCUUGACGGUAUCUAACCAGAAAGCCACGGCUAACUACGUG
rnacentral:rRNA from 1 species